GCUUUAAGGUCUGCUAGAUCAUUUAAAUUUUAAAAUCAUUUAUACUUAAUUUAUUAUUUAUUGACUAAAUUAUGAUGCUGGUGAGGUAUGGAUAGUUCUUAUAAAUAAAACAAGCAUCUUUAUGAAUCAAAACACUUUAUUGUUUAUACACCAUCUUUUUAAACAAGUUACAUUUUUCAGGGCACAGAUAGUUGGAUGAUAAAUACAGCUAUAUACAUCGGAAUGUGAAUCAUACAAUUUAUACAAUGUUAACAAACUAGGACAUCCAUUCUCUUCUAAAUUAUGUAUGUUAGGAUUAUUUAUUAUAUGUUUUAGCCAUAACUGCUUUUCAACGCCUUUGCAAUAUAUAUCAUGAUUUUUUAGAAUUGGUAUUAGAUGAGAUUUAUAGUUUUCAUAAGGAAUGGAUCCCUGAUGCCAUAAUAUUUUUCUAUUCCUUUCAAGCCAAUUAACCUGUUUCUUUUCUGUAUCUGUUAACCAUUCAUAGGGAUAUGGUGGUUUGAUUAAAAAAACUUGAAUCCGAUCACUGUACACUAAAGCAAUCUCUUUAGGUAGAAAGUAAUUAUCAUCAUUUUUAAAACCUUGAACAUCCACAAUGAUUUUCAUGAUAGUUUUCGUACUAUGUUACUCAGCGGUCUAUACUCUACAAGACGAUCAUUUAUAAUUAAACAGUAAGCGCUGGUAUUGCUGGGAAUAUCCUGAGAUGUUUCAAUUUCUAGACGAACAUCAACUGGACCAGUUUUUAAAUUUUCAUUUUGCCUGGAACAGUCUAUGACAAAUAAUGGGGCCUUUUCCUUAAAUGUAUGCAAAUCAAGCAACGGAUCGAUAGGAAGGUUAUAAAACGACUAGUAUCUAUAUAAUUUAUUUCUAAAGAAUCGGCUUGUUUGAUCAACUUCAUUAUUAUUUGUGACAUACUUUUUAGAUUACUCAUUAUUAAGUACUGCAAUCAUGUUUAGACUUGUCUAUCUUGUUUGAAAUUCUUGCAUAAAACUUGUUAAAUAUAAUUAAAUCAAAGCAUCAUAGUCUUAUUUAUCAAUUUCAAAUGACUUCAGUAUUGUUUCUUGUUUACCAUACCUUGCAUAAGGAUGAUCAUAUUACAUUCUUACACAAUAAGUUAAAUUACAAAUUAAAUAUUUAUUCUCAGAUCAGUUCUCGCAAGGAGCACACUGAUUUUUCACAAACUUCAAUCUCGUCUUCCUGAAUAAUGGCGAACUUUUAUAAUAUUGAUGAAAAUGAUCAAAUGAUCAAAGCAUGUGAAAACAUUGACCCAUUUUUUGGAAAUUGUGCUCAAGAUGUGAAUGCUAUACUAGAGAAAGAAGAACGAGAUAGGUUAAAAUUUAUAACUGAACAAGAGAAAACGAAGUCACUUCAAAAUAUUAAACAGAUGAGUAAACUAUCUUUGAAAAGAAAAUGUCCAAAGGUAGACAAACAAAUAUACAUGUCAGAUUCUUCUUUUAUUAUUAGAAAAAACAAGACGAAGGCGCAUCAUAUAAUCAAAAUUGAAAUUCUCGAAAUAAACCAUGGCGUUCAGGAAAAUAAUGUAAAUAGUCAAGUAAGUGUGCAGUAUGUAGUGACAGACAAUUACGAUAACAUAAUGUAUUCAGCUGAAGAAUUAAUUAAUAAGAUUAUGCAGAAAUUAAGUUUGCCAGAAUCAUUGUAAGUGAAUAGAUUGUCAUUGAAAUUAUUAUUUUAUAAAAUAAUUGUUUGAUUACAUAAUAAACGAUUUUAAAAUUA